rnacentral:rRNA from 1 species
UACGAAGGGGGCUAGCGUUGCUCGGAAUCACUGGGCGUAAAGGGUGCGUAGGCGGGUCUUUAAGUCAGGGGUGAAAUCCUGGAGCUCAACUCCAGAACUGCCUUUGAUACUGAGGAUCUUGAGUUCGGGAGAGGUGAGUGGAACUGCGAGUGUAGAGGUGAAAUUCGUAGAUAUUCGCAAGAACACCAGUGGCGAAGGCGAGUCUCUGGACAUUUCCUGACGCUGAGGCACGAAAGCCAGGGGAGCAAACGGG